rnacentral:rRNA from 1 species
CCCUAUACAUGCAAGUCGAGCGGACAGAAGGGAGCUUGCUCCCGGAUGUUAGCGGCGGACGGGUGAGUAACACGUGGGUAACCUGCCUGUAAGACUGGGAUAACUCCGGGAAACCGGAGCUAAUACCGGAUAGUUCCUUGAACCGCAUGGUUCAAGGAUGAAAGACGGUUUCGGCUGUCACUUACAGAUGGACCCGCGGCGCAUUAGCUAGUUGGUGAGGUAACGGCUCACCAAGGCGACGAUGCGUAGCCGACCUGAGAGGGUGAUCGGCCACACUGGGACUGAGACACGGCCCAGACUCCUACGGGAGGCAGCAGUAGGGAAUCUUCCGCAAUGGACGAAAGUCUGACGGAGCAACGCCGCGUGAGUGAUGAAGGUUUUCGGAUCGUAAAGCUCUGUUGUUAGGGAAGAACAAGUGCAAGAGUAACUGCUUGCACCUUGACGGUACCUAACCAGAAAGCCACGGCUAACUACGUGCCAGCAGCCGCGGUAAUACGUAGGUGGCAAGCGUUGUCCGGAAUUAUUGGGCGUAAAGGGCUCGCAGGCGGUUUCUUAAGUCUGAUGUGAAAGCCCCCGGCUCAACCGGGGAGGGUCAUUGGAAACUGGGAAACUUGAGUGCAGAAGAGGAGAGUGGAAUUCCACGUGUAGCGGUGAAAUGCGUAGAGAUGUGGAGGAACACCAGUGGCGAAGGCGACUCUCUGGUCUGUAACUGACGCUGAGGAGCGAAAGCGUGGGGAGCGAACAGGAUUAGAUACCCUGGUAGUCCACGCCGUAAACGAUGAGUGCUAAGUGUUAG